GAUGAACGCUGGCGGCGUGCCUAAUACAUGCAAGUCGAGCGAACAAAUGAUGAGCUUACUCCUCUGAAGUUAGCGGCGGACGGGUGAGUAACACGUGGAUAACCUAUCAAUACUACUGGGAUAACUUCGAGAAACCGGAGCUAGUAGAGGAUGCUAUAUUGCAACACAUAGAUCAAUAGUGAAAGAAGGUCUUGCUAUGACUUAUCGACGGAUCGGCGCCGCAUUAGCUAGUUGGUGAGGUAACGGCUUACCAAGGCAACGAUGCUUAGCCGAGCUGAGAGGGUGAUAGGCCACACUGGAACUGAGACACGGUCCAGACUCCUACGGGAGGCAGCAGUAGGGAAGCUUCCGCAAUUGGCGAAAGCCUGACGGAGCAACGCCGCGUGAGUGAUGAAGGUCUUCGGAUCGUAAAACUCUGUUAUUAGGGAAGAACAAAUGUGUAAGUAACUAUGCACGUCUUGACGGUACCUAAUCAGAAAGCCACGGCUAACUACGUG
rnacentral:rRNA from 1 species